rnacentral:lncRNA from 1 species
GAAACAGAGGAGGACAGAGACAGAGACAGAAACAGGGAAGGACAGAGACAGAAACAGCGAAGGACAGAGACAGAAACAGGGGAGGACAGAGACAGAAACAGGGGAGGACAGAGACAGAAACAGGGAAGGACAGAGACAGAAACAGGGAAGGACAGAGACAGAAACAGGGAAGGACAGAGACAGAAACAGGGAAGGACAGAGACAGAGACAGAAACAGGGGAGAACAGAGACAGAAACAGGGGAGGACAGAGACAGAAACAUUGGAGGACAGAGACAGGGAAUGACAGAGACAGAAACAGAAACAGGGGAGGACAGAAACAGGGAAGACAGAGACAGAAACAGGGGAGGACAGAGACAGAGACAGGGAAGGACAGAGACAGAGACAGAAACAGGGAAGACAGAGACGGAAACAGGGGAGGACAGAGACAGAGACAGGGAAGGACAGAGACAGAGACAGAAACAGGGGAGAACAGAGACAGGAACAGAAACAGGGAAGACAGAGACAGAAACAUUGGAGGACAGAGACAGGGAAGGACAGAGACAGAAGCAGGGGAGGACAGAGACAGAGACAGAAACAGGGAAGGACAGAAACAGAGGAGGACAGAGACAGAGACAGAAACAGGGAAGGACAGAGACAGAAACAGGGGAGGACAGAGACAGAAACAGGGGAGGACAGAGACAGAAACAGGGGAGGACAGAGACAGAAACAGGCGAGGACAGAGGCAGAAACAGGGGUGGACAGAGACAGAAACAGGGAAGACAGAGACAGAAACAGGGGAGGACAGAGACAGAAACAGGGGAGGACAGAGACAGAAACAGGGGAGGACAGAGACAGAAACAGGGAAGGACAGAGACAGAAACAGGGAAGGACAGAGACAGAGACAGGGAAGGACAGAGACAGAGACAGAAACAGGGGAGA